rnacentral:rRNA from 1 species
UACAGAGGUCUCAAGCGUUUGUUCGGAUUCAUUGGGCGUAAAGGGUGCGUAGGCGGCGCGGUAAGUCGGGUGUGAAAUUUCGAGGCUUAACUUCGAAACUGCAUUCGAUACUGCCGUGCUUGAGGACUGGAGAGGAGACUGGAAUUUACGGUGUAGCGGUGAAAUGCGUAGAUAUCGUAAGGAAGACCAGUGGCGAAGGCGGGUCUCUGGACAGUUCCUGACGCUGAGGCACGAAGGCCAGGGGAGCAAACGGG